rnacentral:rRNA from 1 species
UACGAGGGGUGCAAGCGUUGCUCGGAAUUAUUGGGCGUAAAGGGUAGGUAGGUGGUCUUAUUUGUCUGGGGUGAAAUCCUUGAGCUUAACUCAAGAAGUGCCCCAGAAACGGUAAGACUAGAGUCCUGGAGAGGGUCGUGGAAUUCCCGGUGUAGCGGUGAAAUGCGUAGAGAUCGGGAGGAACACCAGAGGCGAAGGCGGCGACCUGGACAGGCACUGACACUCAAAUACGAAAGCGUGGGGAGCAAACAGG